UCUCCACGGAAGCGUGAGCAGCACGCUCAGGGGUAUGAGGAGCCGGCCGUCCUUGCUGCCAAGACCUCCUUCAUGGUGAACGAGGUGGAGGAGCUGUACGAGCUCUACAAGAAGCUCAGCUUCUCCAUCUUCAAGGACGACCUCAUCCACAAGGAGGAGUUCCGGCUAGCCCUGUUUAGGACCAGCAAAGGCGUGAACCUAUUCGCGGACAGGUUGUUCGACCUCUUCGAUCUCAAGUGCAACGGGGUGAUCGAGUUCGGUGAGUUCGUGCGCUCGCUCAGCAUCUUCCACCCCAAAGCGCUUGACUGCAUGUACGCCUCCUUCGCAUUCAAGCUGUAUGAUCUGAGGGGGACAGGCUACAUCGAGAAACAAGAGCUUCGGGAGAUGGUCGUGGUGCUUCUUGAUGAGUUCGACCUAUGUCUCUCUAACAGCGCCGUCGAGGAGAUCGUUGAUAAUGUAUGUAAUCAACAAGAUAUAUUCAGUCAUUGGGAACUAUUUUCCCGUUUUCCUUCUAACAUGUUCUGUUCUCUACUACUCCGCUCCUUCUAG
rnacentral:rRNA from 1 species